CAUAAAAGAUAAAAGGUUAUCCACUGUGCAUACCCAAUUUGGCAAAUUUAUAUUAUAAGUAACAAAUAAGAAUUUAUUUACUUAGGUUACUCACUCGGAAGUCAGAAUCAUCCCCGGAUAUCGGGUAAUUCCGAUAAAUCACUUAGGUAUAGUUCUAUCAUAUCAGAGGCCAUUUUCGGAAGUACCUACCCGACACUCGGAAGUGAGUCGGAGUUAUUUUAUUUUAAGUAGGUGUUGCGGAGGUUGCUGUGGCUGCGGUUGUCCCAGGAUAACCAUCUACACGUGCUGCACCAAGAUCUGCUAAGAAUGUCAUCAGGAUGAAGAACAACCUAGCCUUGCGGCGAAGGCGCCGCCAACUGGCAGCGUUAGUGAAGCUAUUUUGAAUAAAGUGAAAGUGAAGUGCUGUAAUAAAGUGAAUUAGAAAUGUGACUGA